rnacentral:rRNA from 1 species
ACGCUGGCGGCGUGCCUAACACAUGCAAGUCGAACGAAGCAUUUAAGUGAAUCCCUUCGGGGGUGAAGCUUUUAUGACUUAGUGGCGGACGGGUGAGUAACACGUGAGCAACCUGCCUCUUGGUUUGGGAUACCGUUUGGAAACGAACGUUAAUACCGAAUAAUAUAGCGGAUUCGCAUGUUUCUGCUAUCAAAGAUUUAUUGCCAAGAGAUGGGCUCGCGUCUGAUUAGAUAGUUGGUGAGGUAACGGCCCACCAAGUCGACGAUCAGUAGCCGGACUGAGAGGUUGAACGGCCACAUUGGGACUGAGACACGGCCCAGACUCCUACGGGAGGCAGCAGUGGGGAAUAUUGCACAAUGGGCGCAAGCCUGAUGCAGCGAUGCCGCGUGAGGGAAGAAGGUUUUCGGAUUGUAAACCUCUGUCAUCGGGGACGAUAAUGACGGUACCCGAGAAGGAAGCUCCGGCUAACUACGUG